CCUACGGGUGGCAGCAGUGAGGAAUAUUGGUCAAUGGACGAGAGUCUGAACCAGCCAAGUAGCGUGAAGGAUGACUGCCCUAUGGGCUGUAAACUUCUUUUAUAAAGGAAUAAAACGAGGCACGUGUGCCUUUUUGCAUGUACUUUUUGAAUAAGGACAGGCUAACUCCGUGCCAGUAGCCGCGGUAAUACGGAGGAUCCGAGCGUUAUCCGGAUUCAUUGGGUUUAAGGGGAGCGUAGGUGGGUUGUUAAGUCAGUUGUGAAAGUUUUGGGCUCAACCGUAAAAUUGCAAUGGAUACUGGCAGUCUUGAGUGCAGUUGAGGUGGGCGGAAUUCGUGGUGUAGCGGUGAAAUGCUUAGAUAUCACGAAGAACCCCGAUUGCGAAGGCAGCUUACUAAACUGUGACUGACAUUGAUGCUCGAAAGUGUGGGUAUCAAACAGGAUUAGAUACCCCAGUAGUC
rnacentral:rRNA from 1 species